rnacentral:rRNA from 1 species
GAAUAGGGGAGCCGAAGGGAAACCGAGUCUUAACUGGGCGUUAAGUUGCAGGGUAUAGACCCGAAACCCGGUGAUCUAGCCAUGGGCAGGUUGAAGGUUGGGUAACACUAACUGGAGGACCGAACCGACUAAUGUUGAAAAAUUAGCGGAUGACUUGUGGCUGGGGGUGAAAGGCCAAUCAAACCGGGAGAUAGCUGGUUCUCCCCGAAAGCUAUUUAGGUAGCGCCUCGUGAAUUCAUCUCCGGGGGUAGAGCACUGUUUCGGCAAGGGGGUCAUCCCGACUUACCAACCCGAUGCAAACUGCGAAUACCGGAGAAUGUUAUCACGGGAGACACACGGCGGGUGCUAACGUCCGUCGUGAAGAGGGAAACAACCCAGACCGCCAGCUAAGGUCCCAAAGUCAUGGUUAAGUGGGAAACGAUGUGGGAAGGCCCAGACAGCCAGGAUGUUGGCUUAGAAGCAGCCAUCAUUUAAAGAAAGCGUAAUAGCUCACUGGUCGAGUCGGCCUGCGCGGAAGAUGUAACGGGGCUAAACCAUGCACCGAAGCUGCGGCAGCGACACUGUGUGUUGUUGGGUAGGGGAGCGUUCUGUAAGCCUGUGAAGGUGUGCUGUGAGGCAUGCUGGAGGUAUCAGAAGUGCGAAUGCUGACAUAAGUAACGAUAAAGCGGGUGAAAAGCCCGCUCGCCGGAAGACCAAGGGUUCCUGUCCAACGUUAAUCGGGGCAGGGUGAGUCGACCCCUAAGGCGAGGCCGAAAGGCGUAGUCGAUGGGAAACAGGUUAAUAUUCCUGUACUUGGUGUUACUGCGAAGGGGGGACGGAGAAGGCUAUGUUGGCCGGGCGACGGUUGUCCCGGUUUAAGCGUGUAGGCUGGUUUUCCAGGCAAAUCCGGAAAAUCAAGGCUGAGGCGUGAUGACGAGGCACUACGGUGCUGAAGCAACAAAUGCCCUGCUUCCAGGAAAAGCCUCUAAGCAUCAGGUAACAUCAAAUCGUACCCCAAACCGACACAGGUGGUCAGGUAGAGAAUACCAAGGCGCUUGAGAGAACUCGGGUGAAGGAACUAGGCAAAAUGGUGCCGUAACUUCGGGAGAAGGCACGCUGAUAUGUAGGUGAAGUCCCUCGCGGAUGGAGCUGAAAUCAGUCGAAGAUACCAGCUGGCUGCAACUGUUUAUUAAAAACACAGCACUGUGCAAACACGAAAGUGGACGUAUACGGUGUGACGCCUGCCCGGUGCCGGAAGGUUAAUUGAUGGGGUCAGCGCAAGCGAAGCUCUUGAUCGAAGCCCCGGUAAACGGCGGCCGUAACUAUAACGGUCCUAAGGUAGCGAAAUUCCUUGUCGGGUAAGUUCCGACCUGCACGAAUGGCGUAAUGAUGGCCAGGCUGUCUCCACCCGAGACUCAGUGAAAUUGAACUCGCUGUGAAGAUGCAGUGUACCCGCGGCAAGACGGAAAGACCCCGUGAACCUUUACUAUAGCUUGACACUGAACAUUGAGCCUUGAUGUGUAGGAUAGGUGGGAGGCUUUGAAGUGUGGACGCCAGUCUGCAUGGAGCCGACCUUGAAAUACCACCCUUUAAUGUUUGAUGUUCUAACGUGGACCCGUGAUCCGGGUUGCGGACAGUGUCUGGUGGGUAGUUUGACUGGGGCGGUCUCCUCCUAAAGAGUAACGGAGGAGCACGAAGGUUGGCUAAUCCUGGUCGGACAUCAGGAGGUUAGUGCAAUGGCAUAAGCCAGCUUGACUGCGAGCGUGACGGCGCGAGCAGGUGCGAAAGCAGGUCAUAGUGAUCCGGUGGUUCUGAAUGGAAGGGCCAUCGCUCAACGGAUAAAAGGUACUCCGGGGAUAACAGGCUGAUACCGCCCAAGAGUUCAUAUCGACGGCGGUGUUUGGCACCUCGAUGUCGGCUCAUCACAUCCUGGGGCUGAAGUAGGUCCCAAGGGUAUGGCUGUUCGCCAUUUAAAGUGGUACGCGAGCUGGGUUUAGAACGUCGUGAGACAGUUCGGUCCCUAUCUGCCGUGGGCGCUGGAGAACUGAGGGGGGCUGCUCCUAGUACGAGAGGACCGGAGUGGACGCAUCACUGGUGUUCGGGUUGUCAUGCCAAUGGCACUGCCCGGUAGCUAAAUGCGGAAGAGAUAAGUGCUGAAAGCAUCUAAGCACGAAACUUGCCCCGAGAUGAGUUCUCCCUGACCCUUUAAGGGUCCUGAAGGAACGUUGAAGACGACGACGUUGAUAGGCCGGGUGUGUAAGCGCAGCGAUGCGUUGAGCUAACCGGUACUAAUGAACCGUGAGGCUUAACCUU